GCAAUGUGAGAAAUCGCGACGGGGGGAUCCCAAGUGCCAUUCUUAACGGGAUGGCUUUUCAUUAGUGUAAAGAGCUUUUGGAAUAAGAGCUGGGCAAGACCGGUGCCAGCCGCCGCGGUAACACCGGCAGCUCUAGUGGUAGCAAUUUUUAUUGGGCCUAAAGCGUCCGUAGCCGGUUUAAUAAGUCUCUGGUGAAAUCCUGUAGCUUAACUGUGGGAAUUGCUGGAGAUACUAUUAGACUUGAGACCGGGAGAGGUUAGAGGUACUCCCAGGGUAGAGGUGAAAUUCUGUAAUCCUGGGAGGACCGCCUGUUGCGAAGGCGUCUAACUGGAACGGUUCUGACGGUGAGGGACGAAAGUUAGGGGCGCGAACCGGAUUAGAUACCCGGGUAGUCCUAACUGUAAACGAUGCGGACUUGGUGUUGGGGUGGCUUUGAGCUGCUUCAGUGCCGAAGGGAAGCUGUUAAGUCCGCCGCCUGGGAAGUACGGUCGCAAGACUGAAACUUAA
rnacentral:rRNA from 1 species